rnacentral:rRNA from 1 species
CGGCCUACGGGAGGCAGCAGUAGGGAAUCUUCCACAAUGGGCGAAAGCCUGAUGGAGCAACGCCGCGUGGGUGAAGAAGGUUUUCGGAUUGUAAACUGCUUUAGACAGGGAAGAAAAAAGACAGUACCUGUAGAAUAAGCUCCGGCUAACUACGUGCCAGCAGCCGCGGUAAUACGUAGGGAGCAAGCGUUAUCCGGAUUUAUUGGGUGUAAAGGGUGCGUAGACGGGAAUGCAAGUUGGUUGUGAAAUCCCUCGGCUUAACUGAGGAACUGCAACCAAAACUACAUUUCUUGAGUGCUGGAGAG